rnacentral:rRNA from 1 species
GUGCCAGCAGCCGCGGUAAGACGUAGGUGGCAAGCGUUGUUCGGAAUCACUGGGCAUAAAGCGCGCGUAGGCGGCUAAGUCAGUCGGGUGUGAAAUCCCUCGGCUCAACCGAGGAACUGCGCCCGAUACUGCUUGGCUUGAGGAUCGGAGGGGAGAGUGGAAUUCCCGGUGGAGCGGUGAAAUGCGUAGAGAUCGGGAAGAACGCCGGCGGCGAAAGCGACUCUCUGGUCGACCCCUGACGCUGAGGCGCGAAAGCUAGGGGAGCAAACGGGAUUAGAAACCCGAGUAGUCC